CGUGUGUGUGUGUAAAUUAGGGGUGCUGAAAAGUUCCUGGCUUUAAGGGUGUCAUGAAAGGUCUAGUUGGAGGCUUGACCUUCUGAGUUUUGUUACAGGGCUUAGGAAAAUUGAAGGGUCGCUGCAACAAGUGUGUUAAUCUGAGAGGAGAAUAUGUUGAAUAAAAUCACAACUGACUGAUCCUCCUGUAUUUUCUUUCGCCCAAGACAGCA